UACGUAGGGGGCAAGCGUUGUCCGGAAUCACUGGGCGUAAAGGGUGCGUAGGCGGUUAUGUAAGUCUGAAGUGAAAGCUCAAGGCUUAACCUUGAGAUUGCUUUGGAAACUGCAGGACUUGAGUGCUGGAGAGGCAAGGGGAAUUCCACGUGUAGCGGUGAAAUGCGUAGAUAUGUGGAGGAAUACCAGUGGCGAAGGCGCCUUGCUGGACAGUGACUGACGCUGAGGCACGAAAGCGUGGGGAGCAAACAGG
rnacentral:rRNA from 1 species